CCCCACCCCGCCCCGCCCCCAGGCCCUCCUCCCGCCCCGCCCCGUCCCGCCUGCAGGAUCUCCCCACCGCGCGCUAGUCCUCGGCCUCAGUCUUGCUGAAUUGAGUGGGCGCAGCCGCGGCUACUUUGUAGCGGUUCGGGCCCGGCCCAGCCCGCGGCAGUGAAACCCGGUCUCGGACCGACCAUGAGCCUAAAGAGCCUGUGUCCGUUGUCCCCGGGUACAGAGGCCUGAGUUCUAAGCGCAGGUUGAAAAGUACAGGUAGAAGCCACUGAAGCUGUAAAGCUCUGAUGCUGGUAUUUUAACUGACUUACACCAACUAUCACUCUGCAGUUUACAAUACACAAGAACCUUUAAUGAGGUCACAGUUCUCACGUAACUUGUAGCAACCUGGUGUCUGUGCAGUGGCUUAGAAGUUAGAGCAGUGGGAUCCUGCUGGUGGUUUAAUUCUCACAAGUCUGUGAAGAGGGUACUGUUUCUCUUUUUGCAUUUGAGGCAGUCACUUAAGGUUCCAUCACAUAUGCCCAGGAAGCCUUGCAGCUACUUUUUUCCCUGUGUAACUGUUAGAAAGUCACUUAUCCUUCUUGAGACUUAGUGUCCUGGUAUAACAGGAGAAGUAUUUAAACAUGGGUUAGGUCACUUUGGUGGGGAAAGACCACAGAGCUACUGAGAAUAUAAACUCUUCAUAGUAUAUACUUGAACCUCUAAGAAAUUAAAAUUUAGCACAAAGGGAACAUAACCUCAGCAUGAUGAGGUUUUUGAUGAAUGUAGCAUGAUGAGCUGUAAAAAAGGAAUUUAAAGGACCCAAUGAUGCUAGAUUAUUAAAAUAUGAGUAUUGGGGUGAUGGGGGAGGUUUUCCUAUGGGAAGAAAUGUGUCGCAAGAUGAACAGAACCCAGUUCCUGUCGAUCAGCUCUGGAUGUCUACAAUACCUCAUUUUCCAGAAUCUUAAAUAAAGGUAUUUAUUUCAUUA